rnacentral:rRNA from 1 species
GCGAGACUGCCGGUGACAAACCGGAGGAAGGUGGGGAUGACGUCAAGUCCUCAUGGCCCUUAUAGGUGGGGCUACACACGUCAUACAAUGGCUGGUACAAAGGGUUGCCAACCCGCGAGGGGGAGCUAAUCCCACAAAGCCGAUCGUAGUCCGGAUCGCAGUCUGCAACUCGACUGCGUGAAGUCGGAAUCGCUAGUAAUCGUGGAUCAGCAUGUCACGGUGAAUACGUUCCCGGGUCUU